UACGUAGGCAGCAAGCGUUGUUCGGAAUUACUGGGCGUAAAGAGUGUGUAGGCGGUGCUCUAAGUUCGGUGUGAAAUCUCCCGCUUAACUGGGAGGGUGCGCCGGAAACUGGAGUGCUCGAGCGUGGGAGAGGAAGGCGGAAGUUCCUGGUGUAGCGGUGAAAUGCGUAGAUAUCAGGAGGAACACCUGCGGUGUAGACGGCUUUCUGGACCAUUGCUGACGCUGAGACACGAAAGCGUGGGUAGCAAACAGG
rnacentral:rRNA from 1 species